AACGAACGCUGGCGGCAUGCCUAACACAUGCAAGUCGAACGAGACCUUCGGGCCUAGUGGCGCACGGGUGCGUAACGCGUGGGAACCUGCCCUUAGGUUCGGAAUAACUCCCCGAAAGGGGUGCUAAUACCGGAUAAUGUCUUCGGACCAAAGAUUUAUCGCCUUUGGAUGGGCCCGCGUUGGAUUGGCCAGUUGGUAGGGUACAAGCCUACCAAGGCGACGAUCCAUGGCUGGUCUGGGAGGAUGAUCAGCCACGCUGGGACUGAGACACGGCCCAGACUCCUACGGGAGGCAGCUGUGGGGAAUAUUGGGCGCUGGGCGAUGGCCUGGUCCAGCCAUGCCGCGUGUGUGAUGAAUGCCUUAGGGUUGUACAGCUCUUUUACCCGAGAUGAUAAUGACAGUACCGGGAGAAUAAGCUCCGGCUAACUCCGUG
rnacentral:rRNA from 1 species